AGCAGCCGCGGUAAUUCCAGCUCCAAUAGCGUAUAUUAAAGUUGUUGCAGUUAAAAAGCUCGUAGUUGAAUUUCGGGGUUAGUAGGCUGGUCAUGCCACCGGUAUGUACUGGUCUUUCUGAUUCCUCCUUCCUGAUGAACUGUAAUGCCAUUAAUUUGAUGUUGCAGGGAAUCUGGACUAGUUACUUUGAAAAAAUUAGAGUGUUUAAAGCAGGCUAACGCUUGAAUACAUUAGCAUGGAAUAAUGAAAUAGGACGCUCGAUCCUAUUUUGUUGGUUUCUAGGAUUGACGUAAUGAUUAAUAGGGAUAGUUGGGGGCAUUAGUAUUCAAUUGUCAGAGGUGAAAUUCUUGGAUUUAUUGAAGACUAACUACUGCGAAAGCAAUUUGCCUAAGGAUGUUUUCAUUAAUCAAGAACGAAAGUUAGGGGAUCGAAGACGAUCAGAUACCGUCGUAGUCUUAACCAUAAACCUAUGCCGACUAGGGAUCGGAUGAUGUUAAUUUUUAAUGACUCAUUC
rnacentral:rRNA from 1 species